rnacentral:misc_RNA from 1 species
UAGAUUAAAAUGGCUUAAAUCUUAUUAAUGAUGAAAACCACUCAUUCAAUUCCAAAACAAUUAAGGACCUUCAAAUAUCAAAAUGUUUAACCAUGUGCUACAAGCAGAAUAAGCAAUCUUCAAUUAGGAAACUAAAGAUACAACUCCAAACUAAACCUGCAUUAUUCAGCGUCAUCCAGUCUUUGUCCAUGUAUCUGGAUACCCAUUUUUUCUUUUUAUUUCUGUCUCUUGUAAAUUUUGGCCAAAAAGGACUUCAACACUGCUUGCACCGGCUUGCUAGGAUGAGCUUCAAUAGAGGUUACUAGUUUCUUAUAGCUUUCAUUCUCAUACUCCGUAAAUACCCCCUAUUGAAUUGAUAGUAAAUAAAGAGAUAAGAGAGAGAAACAUGAAGUUGUAUAAUGAAGUAUCUCUAUGCACAAACAGAAUUAAUAUGGCAAAUUUGGUAUUAAGGAAAAGCAAGCAAAUAACUGUAUAUAUGUGUUGCAGGAAUUAAGUGCUAAUAUGAUCCAUAUAUGCUGAAGUUUAUAUAAUGAAAUAUCUUCUCUAUACACAAACAAACAAACAAAAUUGAUUUGGCAAACAUGGUCUAAGGAAAAAAGCAAGGAAAAAUUACUAUAUUGGUGUAGCAAGAAUGAAAUGCUAAUGCAAUCCAAUCUUUAUUUCAAAAUUGUGAAACAUCCGUUUCUUGAGAUCAUGCUCGUACCUGAAGCUUCAGCUCAUUAUAAAGGACCUUCACCUUUGCUACACUGGCUGGGUCAGCUUUCCCAUAGUGCUCCUGAAGGAAAUAACAUUGUCAAUAAGCAAAGCUACUUCAUAUUAGACAAGAAGGACCAAAGACAACAUAAGGAAUGCGUUACUCUUACAUAUAACACUUUCUUUUGUUCUUCAUUGCAAAGUUCUAAAGCCUUCACGACCAACCAUGAACACUUAAAAUCUUCUAUAUCUGUUCCUAUCUUACCAAUUGUCUCCGGAUCACCAAAGCAAUCCAAAUAAUCAUCCUGUACUUGGAAGUAGAUUCCCAUCUGAACAAGAAUGUCUUUUACAACAAUAUGAUUGUCCAGAUUCUCACCCGCUAUGAGCAAUGCACAAGCAACAGGAAGGUAAAAUGAGUAGUAGGCAGUUUUGUACUGAACAAUUCUCCGGUGGCUGCAUCAAUCCCCAACCAGUGUAUAAGUUAUCAAACAUCAACUCAGUAAAGAAAACAAGUUAAAUGAAAAGCUUUUACUUAUUCCAAGAUUACUUGAAAAGCAAAUUACAUACUUUAAUUCAGAAGCAUUAAUAGGUUUUUCAAACCAAGCCACCCAAAUUGUUUGAAAUUCAAAACUUUUUGCUUCUUCAUAGCCAAUAACACAAACUGUUUUGAGGCAUCCAGGAGUUGGUGCCAUACACAUUGCUGGGAAAUUCAACAGUUAAUUUAAAGCUUAUGCAGUUUGAAAUGAAAACCAUAUUUGUAUCUAUUCCUUGUCAAGAUAUUGGUGAGAUUGAAUUCAAAUAAUACUCUCAAUAGCUCAUUUAGCAUGGUCUUCCUUGUACUUGCACCUUCAUAAUCCAUAUGGCUUUGUUCCAACAAAUUGUUUGCAGUAGCUCAUUUAUCUUACAUAUGAAAAGCAGUUAAAUGGGCAUAUUACAUAUUGUUUAUAUGUAUGCAUAUGGCUUCCCAAAAUUUGUAGAUUGUUUAUAUCACCCUACAAUCUUUAUAUAUUUAUUUAGCUUUCUCAAUUCCUACUUUUGGCUCCCCAAUCUUCAUAAUCUACUAACUUUAGUAUAGAUAUAUGUCAAUGGUUCACUCACAGUGACAAAGUGUAUUUGGAUAAAUCCUUUUCUCCUUCAAGUGUUGUAAUUAGAUCUAUCAUCUGUCCUGAGGCUGUUUGAAACUCCACCUCAUUAAACAAAUCUAGAAGAUCUACAUAGUAUGCCUUCCCUCGGAAGUGCUUUUUAAGAAU